GCUGCAAAGAAGAAAAAUGAAGGAUAACAGAACCUACCAGGUCCCUGCAGAGGCGCUGUGGGAGCGCGCUGGCCCAGUAAACAGAGACCAGUGGCUGUCACCCAUCACCAAGAGCUCACCCAGCUCGGCCUCAGAAGGAAGGGGGUGGUAAGACGCUGUACCAGGAACUGAAGAUAAAAUAUAGAUGGAAACACUAGAAAAAAGUCUCUGCAGAUCAAAUCAUCAGAAGUUAGGAAAAACUACAGGAGCCACUGUCAAGCCAGAUUUCUGUUCACAGGAUCAUCCUGCCAUCACCAGCUCAGCCAGCAAACUUUAGACAAAAUCAAGACCAAUGACUAGAUAAGAUAGCUCUACUGGGGAAAUCAAGGCAAAAAUCAAUAAAGAUGGGUAUUAAGUUCUAUCUGGAGAAGAAUGAAUCACUCCAUUCUUGAAUUUCCAUUGUGUUUGGCUGUUUCCUCUUAAGGGUAAUAAUAGAAAUACAGCAUGGACAUUAGCAUUACA